GAGUUUACACUCCCAAACCCCAAUGUGAACGUUACCAAUCUGUUGCCUCGGCGGGAUUCUCUUGCCCCGGGCGCGUCGCAGCCCCGGAUCCCAUGGCGCCCGCCGGAGGACCAACUCCAAACUCUUUUUUUCUCUCCGUCGCGGCUCCCGUCGCGGCUCUGUUUUAUUUUUGCUCUGAGCCUUUCUCGGCGACCCUAGCGGGCGUCUCGAAAAUGAAUCAAAACUUUCAACAACGGAUCUCUUGGUUCUGGCAUCGAUGAAGAACGCAGCGAAAUGCGAUAAGUAAUGUGAAUUGCAGAAUUCAGUGAAUCAUCGAAUCUUUGAACGCACAUUGCGCCCGCCAGUAUUCUGGCGGGCAUGCCUGUCCGAGCGUCAUUUCAACCCUCGAACCCCUCCGGGGGGUCGGCGUUGGGGAUCGGCCCCUCACCGGGCCGCCCCCGAAAUACAGUGGCGGUCUCGCCGCAGCCUCUCCUGCGCAGUAGUUUGCACACUCGCACCGGGAGCGCGGCGCGGCCACAGCCGUAAAACACCCCAAACUUCUGAAAUGUUGACCUCGGAUCAGGUAGGAAUACCCGCUGAACUUAA
rnacentral:rRNA from 1 species